UUUACUUCAAGAGAUAUUUAUAUUCCAUUGAGAUGAAGGAAAUCAAAGAUAAUAUUAAACUUUUAGAUAUAACCUACCAGUGUAAGGGUUUUUCUAAAGUAAACAGCAUUUUAAAUCUCCAUGGUAACCUGUGACGAUGUAAAAACUUUAAAUCAUUACAAGCCAGAGAGAGCGGUCAUUUCUGAGGAUCAAAUCUGAAGAGAACAGCACGGAAAACUUAAGUGGCUCACGAACUUACAACUUUUGACGGCUUCAUCAUAAAUAAAACCUCACCAGACGACUAAGGACUCCGGCAAACACCUUCGAGAAACACCUGAACAAAGAGGACAACAUCUACGACAUGGAGACCGUAAGAUUUCAUGAUAAUAUUAUCAUACAAACUUGUGUUACUGUCGAGACUUUCGUGAUGCAUCGACAAGAAUUAAAUGUGUGCAUGGAUAUUUACAGUGUUUAUGACUUUAAUGUGACAGGCAUUAUCAAAAUUAACCGAAAAUAAGUGAACAUAGGCGUUUUUUUUGUGUGUGUUACUGUCGAGACGUUCGAAUGGUUAGCUUAAAAGUGAUGCAUUGACAUCACAUGAAAGUCCUGCCCACCAUGUCAAAGACUCUUUGUGCUUAAGAGCAGAAAAGCUCAUGUUAUUGUGCGAAAUCUCUCUAAGAGAUUUUUUAUGUCUUCUGGGCUAUUUAAAGCCGUCAGUCUGAAACUUAUUUGACAGUUUCUCCUUAUACUAACCAAUGCUAUCAGGUGAAAACUAUAAACACAAGCAAUUUUCACACGUAUUACAGCGAAAGAGGCACAUUAAAGGAGUGAAAUGUGGUGUUAAAAUAAGGGACACCUUCAUAACUUUAAAGAAUGACAGUCAUCAUAAAAUUCGACAAAAUAAACUAAAAAGACAUAAUAGUUAGACCUAUUUAUAAAUGCUCUAAUAGGCCUAGGUAACCAAAAAAAUCCUAUGAAUUACAUUUGAACCUAUUUAAAAAGUUACAAAACAGACAAAAUUAAGUUAAAAGUAAUGUCUUAUGUACAGCCUUUAAAAUGAAGAGUUCGAUAAUGUUCCACUGAAAUAUGUUUUCAUGUUUUCAUGGAUCAAGUGUGUGUGUUUUUCUACCACAAUAUUUAAAAUUUCAAUUAUGGGAAAAAUUCACUAAGUGUUAUCGAACCACUGUACUUUUGUGGAAGUCAGUUUUUUAUCAAACUGAAAACAGAGGAUUUUCUUAUUUAAUCCUGAAAAAGUCUUUUUCCCAAUAAAAUAAAAUGACUGAAAUAGACAUACCAAAAAUAUAAAUUCUUAAUAGUGGGUGUUGCAUUGAUGUUAAUCUAUUUCUAUUGCACAAUUAACCUGCUGAUUAGAGACUAAAUUCAAAUUAAAAUGUAUUGACUGUCUCUUCUUGAUGAUACUGAUGUUACAGAUGCUUCCUUCAUGACCUUGACCACACAGUCAAAUGUUUCAGCUUGUUUAAUUUAAAUGUCUGUGUUGUUUCUGUCUUCAGACCAGCCGACGCUUCACACGGACUUGGUCCUUGUGCACAGCUUCCACUGGUCCUGUCCCAAGCCGAUCUUGAAGAGGGUCGUGGCAACACCCAUGUCCCGUUCCAAGCCAAGCUGUGUAAGUAGGAAACCACACUGACAACAUAGAUUGGCCAUUAGCAUGCCCUCAAAACAACGUACAAAACUUUUAUAGUCUGAAUGAUUUUAAUUACAGAAAUAUGUUUAUGAAUUUGUCUUUUUUAAUUUUAAUUUUCUUUAACAUUAAUUUAUUUCAAAGAUGUGAAACCUUCCCCUGGAAAAAUAAUUUCUGCAGACUUCAGAUUUUAUAAUUUGUUGGUUUUUCUGUCUCAGGUCCGAGUGUAGCAGUACAGCCUCGUCCAGAACCAGGAUAAGUCCACUCCUCGGCUGUUACUGAGGAAGGUCCCACCGAUGUUCGGCCCUCCACGUUUCUCCUCCCCCAAGCUCAACCAGGUAAGUCACUCUCACUCCUCUUCUGUCUCUCCCUCUUUCUUUCCCUCUCCUCCUGUCUCUCAAAGAAAAAAAGAAAAAAGAAAGAAAAAAAAAAGAAAAAAGAAAAAAGAAAGAAAAAAGAAAAAAGAAAGAAAGAAAGAAAAAAGAAAAAGGAAAAAAGAAAGAAAAAAAGAAAAAAGAAAGAAAGAAAAAAGAAAGAAAGAAAAAAGAAAGAGAAAAAAAGAAAAAAGAAAAAAGAAAGAAAGAAAAAAAAGAUAAAAAGAAAAAAGAAAGAAAAAAGAAAAAAAGAAAAAAGAAGGAAAAAAGAAAGAAAAAAGAAAGAAAGAAAAGAAAGAAAAAAGAAAAAACAAGAAAGAAAGAAAAAAAGAGAAAAAAAGAAAAAAGAAAGAAAAAAGAAAAAAGAAAGAAAGAAAAAAGAAAGAAAAAAGAAAAAAGAAAGAAAAAAAGAAAGAAAAAAGAAAAAACAAGAAAGAAAGAAAAAAGAAAGAAAAAAAGAAAAAAGAAAGAAAAAAGAAAGAAAGAAAAAAGAAAGAAAAAAGAAAAAACAAAAGAAUGGACCUCGGUCCUUAUGCAAAGCUUCCACUGGUCCUGUCCCAGGCUGAUCUUGAAGAGGGUCGCGGCAACACCCAUGUCCCGUUCCAAGCCUCGCUGUGUAAGUAGGAAACCACACUGACAACAUAGAUAGGCCAUUAGCAUGCCCUCAAAACAACGUACAAAACUUUUAUAGUCUGAAUGAUUUUAAUUACAGAAAUAUGUUUAUGAAUUUGUCUUUUUUAAUUUUAAUUUUCUUUAACAUUAAUUUAUUUCAAAGAUGUGAAACCUUCCCCUUGAAAAAUAAUUUCUGGAGACUUCAGAUUUUAUAAUUUGUUGGUUUUUCUGUCUCAGGUCCGAGUGUAGCAGUACAGCCUCGUCCAGAACCAGGAUAAGUCCACUCCUCGGCUGUUACUGAGGAAGGUCCCACCGAUGUUCAGCCCCUCACGUUUCUCCUCCCCCAAGCUCAACCAGGUAAGUCACUCUCACUCCUCUUCUGUCUCUCCCUCUUUCUCUCCCUCUCCUCCUGUCUCUCAAAGAAAAAAAGAAAGAAAAAAGAAAGAAAAAAAGAAAAAAGAAAGAAAAAAAGAAAAAAAAGAAAGAAAGAAAAAAGAAAAAACAAGAAAGAAAGGAAAAAUAAAAAAGAAAGAAAAAAAAAAAGAAAGAAAAAAAGAAAAGAAAGAAAAAAGAAAGAAAGAAAAAAGAAAAAAAAGAAAGAAAAAAAGAAAAAAGAAAGAAAGAACGGACCUCGGUCCUUGUGCAAAGCUUCCACUGGUCCUGUCCCAGGCCGAUCUUGAAGAGGGUCGCGGCAACACCCAUGUCCCGUUCCAAGCCUCGCUGUGUAAGUAGGAAACCACACUGACAACAUAGAUAGGCCAUUAGCAUGCCCUCAAAACAACGUACAAAACUUUUAUAGUCUGAAUGAUUUUAAUUACAGAAAUAUGUUUAUGAAUUUGUCUUUUUUAAUUUUAAUUUUCUUUAACAUUAAUUUAUUUCAAAGAUGUGAAACCUUCCCCUGGAAAAAUAAUUUCUGCAGACUUCAGAUUUUAUAAUUUGUUGGUUUUUCUGUCUCAGGUCCGAGUGUAGCAGUACAGCCUCGUCCAGAACCAGGAUAAGUCCACUCCUCGGCUGUUACUGAGGAAGGUCACCGAUGUUCGGCCCUCCACGUUUCUCCUCCCCCAAGCUCAACCAGGUAAGUCACUCUCACUCCUCUUCUGUCUCUCCCUCUUUCUUUCCCUCUCCUCCUGUCUCUCAAAGAAAAAAAGAAAAAAGAAAGAAAAAAGAAAGAAAAAAAGAAAGAAAAAAAAGAAAGAAAGAAAAAAGAAAAAGAAAGAAAAAAAAGAUAAAAAGAAAAAAGAAAGAAAAAAAGAAAAAAGAAAGAAAAAAGAAAGAAGGAAAAAAAGAAAGAAAGAAAAAAAAAAGAAAGAAAGAAAGAAAAAAAGAAAGAAAGAAAAAAGAAAGAAAGAAAAAGAAAGAAAAAAGAAAGAAAAAAGAAAAAAAGAAAAAAAAGAAAAAACAAGAAAGAAAGAAAAAAAGAAAAAAAAGAAAAAAGAAAGAAAAAAGAAAGAAAGAAAAAAGAAAGAAAAAAAGAAAAAAGAAAAAAGAAAGAAAAAAGAAAGAAAGAACGGACCUCGGUCCUUGUGCAAAGCUUCCACUGGUCCUGUCCCAGGCCGAUCUUGAAGAGGGUCGCGGCAACACCCAUGUCCCGUUCCAAGCCUCGCUGUGUAAGUAGGAAACCACACUGACAACAUAGAUAGGCCAUUAGCAUGCCCUCAAAACAACGUACAAAACUUUUAUAGUCUGAAUGAUUUUAAUUACAGAAAUAUGUUUAUGAAUUUGUCUUUUUUAAUUUUAAUUUUCUUUAACAUUAAUUUAUUUCAAAGAUGUGAAACCUUCCCCUGGAAAAAUAAUUUCUGCAGACUUCAGAUUUUAUAAUUUGUUGGUUUUUCUGUCUCAGGUCCGAGUGUAGCAGUACAGCCUCGUCCAGAACCAGGAUAAGUCCACUCCUAGGCUGUUAAUGAGGAAGGUCCCGCCGAUGGACGGCCCUCCACGUUUCUUCUCCCCCACUCUCCCCCUGUCCUCUCCCCUCUACCCUCUUCUCUCCACAUUCCUCCCCAACCCAGCAGCGGCAUGGUGGCUGUCUAACAUGAGGCUGGUCCUGCCCAAGGUUUCUGCCUGUUAAAAGGAAGUUUUUCCUUGCCACUGCUACUCAUGUUAGUUGAGAUGGGCCAAAACCCAUCUUAGGUUGGUUCUUGAUCAUCAAACAAUGAGCGUGGUCUAGACCUGCUCUUGUUCCUUGAAAAGCGUCUUGAGAUGAAGACUGUUGUGAAUUGGUAUGGAGCCAGAUCAGGCUCCAUAAAUUGGUGCUAUAUAAAUAAAAUUUGAUUUGAAUUGAUUUUUAUCAGAGCAAUUUCUGAGUUACAUGAAUGAUCCUGAUCCUGUGUCUUCUGCCACUCAGCAAAAACAUAAAAAGAAAGAAAAAAAGAAAGAAAGACCUUUUAAUCGUGUUUGAUUUAUUAACAGUAUUGUGUGAAGGAAAAAAAAAGUCUUUUUAGGGAUGCCGCAGGAUUUCAUGGUUUUAUUCAUGCUGAUAUGACUGAAUGUUGAUAAAAGCAGUGAUGGAUUCUUAUAUCCGAGCUAAAAAAUAUCAAUCCUGCUGAGUUUUCCUGGUUUUCCCUCAGGCUGUUUUUCACUGGAAUUGGUUCACAGCCUGGUCUCUGUACAUUUUGUUGCCUAUUUUGGAGGCUUGUUGUUAGCUGGAAUAGGUGUGCUGAUACAAAAUUGUUUGGUAAAUCACUUUCUAAGUAACUGCACAAUUAUAAUUUAGAAAAAUAAGAGUAAAGUGGGAAAUUUAUGUAAAAUCUUCAUAUUACUUGACUGAAUUAAAUGUUAUUUUUAUGCAGCUGACAUCCUUAUUCACAUAUCUGUAUGCAAGUGGAGUUAUAAAUCAGUUCUAUGUCAUGCCAACAUCACUGUAGGAUAAGAUUCAUUCUAAUCUUAUAUCAUAAGUCUCAGUCUUAUCUUAAUGUACCAUAAGCAGAGCACCUUUCAGCAUUUAGAAAGUUAGAGUGGCACAGAAGAAACCCUCUCACUAAGAAGGCAGAAAACCUGGAGCAGACCAUGACCCCUGCUAAAAAGCCAUAAGAUAGAGACAAAAACGAAGGAGAAAUGGUUCAAAGUUCCUCAGCAUCCCUGGGUCUACCAGAGAGUUAUCUUGAACACAUAGAGUUAAGUCAAUUGUUUUUCUGAUCGGAGCAGCUGGUCCAGCUCAAAGGACACUGGGACACACAGGUGAUUGUACACAGGUGCUUUAAGGUAAUCUGAAAUUGGCCCAGUAAGCUGCUGAGGUUGUUAAAACUACAACCUUUUUCUCCAUGUGCACGGUGUAUGUAGAAGUUACAACUGUAAUUGU